rnacentral:lncRNA from 1 species
AAGAAGUACCAGCAUUCUUUAUCAGUACCAUUGCAAAGUCAAACCACAAGGAAAAGAUAGAAGUUGAAUGGAAUUCCAACUAAACCUGACGGAUCUGACUGGAUUGGGCAUAUGAAGUUUUCUUGUUCUGGUUUUGACGCUUCUUUGUGAAUGCAAUGCAGAACAUCCUCAGGGUGUAGUUAUCUGUUGUCUUAACAUCCACAUGAGCCUCAAUCAAUGUCUGCCACUUGCGCACCAAAGACCUCAGCUUGUCUGUUGUAAAGUCCAUUCCCUGAAAUUAUUAAAAAAAAUGAGAAACCCCAAUUUUCCUCUUUUGCAUGUAAUUAAAAAAAAAAAGGCUAACUGUCAUGCUAUGCCCACCCAGAAGUUUGUGAGGACAUUCUUUCCUUGCACAUCCUCAGCUCUCAGUCGGAUCUUCCUGUAGGCAUGAUCCUCAUCGUUCUGAAGAUCAGCCAGGGAAAUCUCAAACACUCUGUGCUUGAGCCCUUCAGAGGCAAUCUGUCACAUAAUUCACAUAACAUAUUCAGUAAACAUAUGUAAUAAAAGGCAUGUAAACGUUUUUCUUUUAGAAU